CCUACGGGAGGCAGCAGUAGGGAAUAUUGGGCAAUGGAGGCAACUCUGACCCAGCCAUGCCGCGUGCAGGAUGAAGGCGUUAUGCGUUGUAAACUGCUUUUAUAUAGGAAGAAAGAGUUCUUGCGAGAACAGUUGACGGUACUAUAUGAAUAAGCACCGGCUAACUCCGUGCCAGCAGCCGCGGUAAUACGGAGGGUGCAAGCGUUGUCCGGAUUUAUUGGGUUUAAAGGGUGCGUAGGCGGUUUAUUAAGUCAGUGGUGAAAGACGGUCGCUCAACGAUUGCAGUGCCAUUGAUACUGGUAGACUUGAGUGAGAUUGAGGUAGCUGGAAUGGAUAGUGUAGCGGUGAAAUGCAUAGAUAUUAUCCAGAACACCAAUUGCGUAGGCAAGUUACUAAGUCUCAACUGACGCUGAGGCACGAAAGUGUGGGUAUCAAACAGGAUUAGAUACCCUGGUAGUCCACACUGUAAACGAUGAUAACUAACUGUUGGCUUUCGGGUCAGUGGUACAGAGAAAUCGUUAAGUUAUCCAACCUGGGGAGUUACGCCGGNAACGGUUGAAACUUCAAAUUGAAUUGACGG
rnacentral:rRNA from 1 species